AUGUACCACUUGUACAUGGCGGUUUCUCCGCGCCGUCCGCACCCCACCUGGCGACUGCUCGCGACGUUUCGUUAGCC
rnacentral:sRNA from 1 species